GAUUUACCAAACCUAACCAAACUCCGAAUACCAACGAGUGAUAUCCGGGAGACAGACGGCGGGUGCUAAGGUCCGUCGUCAAGAGGGAAACAGCCCUGACCUACAGCUAAGGUCCCCAAGUCACGUCUAAGUGGGAAAGCAUGUGGGAAUCCCAAAACAACCAGGAGGUUGGCUUAGAAGCAGCCAUCCUUUAAAGAAAGCGUAACAGCUCACUGGUCUAAAUAAGGGUUUCUGCGCCGAAGAUGUAACGGGGCUCAAGCCACGAGCCGAAGCUUAGGGUGUGCGCAAGCACGCGGUAGCGGAGCGUUCUGUA
rnacentral:rRNA from 12 species